rnacentral:rRNA from 1 species
AACGAACGCUGGCGGCAGGCUUAACACAUGCAAGUCGAGCGCCCCGCAAGGGGAGCGGCAGACGGGUGAGUAACGCGUGGGAAUCUACCCAUCACUACGGAAUAACGCAUGGAAACGUGUGCUAAUACCGUAUGUGCCCUUUGGGGGAAAGAUUUAUCGGUAAAGGAUCGGCCCGUGUUGGAUUAGCUAGUUGGUGGGGUAAAGGCCUACCAAGGCGACGAUCCAUAGCUGGUCUGAGAGGAUGAUCAGCCACAUUGGGACUGAGACACGGCCCAAACUCCUACGGGAGGCAGCAGUGGGGAAUAUUGGACAAUGGGCGCAAGCCUGAUCCAGCCAUGCCGCGUGAGUGAUGAAGGCCCUAGGGUUGUAAAGCUCUUUCACCGGUGAAGAUAAUGACAGUAACCGGAGAAGAAGCCCCGGCUAACUUCGUGCCAGCCGCCGCCGUAAUAC